GAAAUAUUAUCACCAGUGGGUCUCUAAAAAAGGAUGGGGCUACAAGGAAGGACUACAUUGAGCUGGCAGAGCUUACACUUAUGGUGCUUUCUGAGGACAGGUACAAAUUUCGUACUCCCGGAGCAGUCCACCAUGCCCGCUUUAUGGCAAAAGGUAUCUACUACCUAAAACUCCAACUUAUGAUGGAUGCUAUACCUAGUGCUGACAUAGAGUUCCUCAAUUCUUUAGACUUCAGUGGACUGAAGCC
rnacentral:lncRNA from 1 species